rnacentral:rRNA from 1 species
CAGCAGCCGCGGUAAUACGAAGGGGGCUAGCGUUGCUCGGAAUGACUGGGCGUAAAGGGCGCGUAGGCGGUUUGUACAGUUGGAUGUGAAAUUCCUGGGCUUAACCUGGGGGCUGCAUUCAAUACGUGCAGGCUUGAGUGUGGAAGAGGGUUGUGGAAUUCCCAGUGUAGAGGUGAAAUUCGUAGAUAUUGGGAAGAACACCGGUGGCGAAGGCGGCAACCUGGUCCAUUACUGACGCUGAGGCGCGAAAGCGUGGGGAGCAAACAGGAUUAGAUACCCCCGUAGUCCCUGUCUCUUAUAC